UCAAAACAUCCUGAAUUGCACAGAAUUCCCUUCAAUGUAAAUGAAACACUUUACUUCAAAGCUCUAUUUUG
rnacentral:tRNA from 1 species